GCUGGGUGUGGUGGCAUGUUCCUGUAAUCCAAGUCACUGGGAGGCUGAGGUUGGUGGAUCAAGUGAGCUGAGGAGCUCUGGGCUGCAGCACACUAUGUCUAACGGGUGUCCACGCUAAGUUCGGUAUCGAUAUGGUGUUCCUGGGGAGCCCGGGACCACCAGGUUGUCUAAGGAGGGGUGAACCGGCCCAGGUCGGAAACGAAGCAGGUCAAAUCCCCGUGCUGUCCAGUAGUGGGAUAAUACCUGUGAGUAGAUGCUGCAGUGCAGCCUUGGCAAAACAUUGAGACCUAAUCUUUG
ensembl:misc_RNA Metazoa_SRP Metazoan signal recognition particle RNA